AUGGCUACCGUCGCCGCCGCCGCCCCCGAGCACAUCGAGGCGAUGGAGCAAGUUGAAGGGGAGGAGCAGGCGGCUAGAGCAGCCGCAGCCGCCGCCGCCGAUGACGUCGACGUGCCCACCGAUGCGACGGAGCAAGUUGGAGGGGAUGAGUCGGCGCCAGCCGCCGCCGCUGCUGACGAUGAUGCGGCCGAGCCGAUGGAGCAAGGCGAAGAGGAGGAGGCAACGGAGAUCGACGCGGAGGAGGAGGCGGAUGCUGGCGCCGAGGCGCACAUGGAGGCAUCGGAGCAGGCUGAAGAGGAGGAGCGGGAGGAGGUCCACGCGGUGGCGGUGGCGAAGGAGGAAGCGGAGGCCCAGCCGCUGCAGACGGUGCUCCCGCUGGGCAGGGUGAAGAGGAUCAUGCGGGUCGACAGCGAGAUAAAGAAGGUGACCGCCGAGGCGUCGCUGCUCGUCGCCGCGGCCACCGAGCUCUUCCUCGGCUCCCUCGCCGCCGGCGCCCACACGGCCGCAUCCCAAGGCGGCCGGCGGACGGUGCGCGCCGCGCACGUCCGGGCCGCGGUCCGCGCGCACCGCCCCACCGCCGACUUCCUCCUCGACUGCCUUCCAGCUGCUGCGGAGGCGGCGCCUCGCGUCGCCCGCUCCGGAUCCGAUGGUGCCGCCGCCGUCGCUGAAGCAGCAGUACCCAAGCCGCUGCCACGUGGGACCCGCCGCAUCGACGGAUUCUUCCAGAAGGUCACUUAG
rnacentral:rRNA from 1 species